rnacentral:rRNA from 1 species
UACAGAGACUGCAAGCGUUAUUCGGAUUCACUGGGCGUAAAGGGUGCGCAGGCGGCCAAGUGUGUGAGGCGUGAAAGCCCGGGGCUUAACUCCGGAAUUGCACCUCAAACUAUAUGGCUAGAGCAUUGGAGAGGGUAGCGGAAUUCACGGUGUAGCAGUGAAAUGCGUAGAUAUCGUGAGGAACACCAGAGGCGAAGGCGGCUACCUGGACAAUUGCUGACGCUCAGGCACGAAAGCGUGGGGAGCAAAAGGG